rnacentral:misc_RNA from 2 species
AACGCACAUUGCGCCCCCUGGUAUUCCGGGGGGCAUGCCUGUUCGAGCGUCAUUUCAACCCUCAAGCUCUGCUUGGUAUUGAGCGCCCGCCCCCACGGGGCGCGCUCCAAAGACGUUGGCGGUGGCCCCGAGCCUCAAGCGUAAUAGAAACAUCUCGCUUAGAGGCUUCGACGGUUGCCCGCUUCGAGAACCCAACACUCUUAGGUUGACCUCGGAUCAGGUAGGGAUACCCGCUGAACUUAA